rnacentral:ncRNA from 1 species
GAUUUUAGCAGGUGGAAGAGGGUAGCAAUAACAGGGUCCGUGAUGCCCUUUAGAUGCUCUGGGCUGCACGCGUGCUACAAUGUUAGGAUCAAUAGGACUGCGAGCCUGAGAGGGUGCGCUACUCUUAUAAUCCCUAACGUAGUUGGGAUUGACGUUUGUAAUCAGCGUCAUGAACCAGGAAUCCCUUGUAAAUGUGUGUCAACAACGCACGUUGAAUACGUCCCUGCCCUUUGUACACACCGCCCGUCGCUCCUACCGAUUGGAUGACUCGGUGAAAUCACCGGAUGCUUACGAGCAGAAAGUGAUUAAAUCACGUUAUCUAGAGGAAGGAGAAGUCGUAACAAGGUAACGGUAGGUGAACCUGCCGUUGGAUCAGUU